GAUGAACGCUGGCGGCGUGCCUAACACAUGCAAGUCGAACGGAGUCGUUUUGGAAAUCUCUUCGGAGAUGGAAUUCUCGACUUAGUGGCGGACGGGUGAGUAACGCGUGAGCAAUCUGCCUUUAAGAGGGGGAUAACAGUCGGAAACGGCUGCUAAUACCGCAUAAAGCAUUAAAUUCGCAUGUUUUUGAUGCCAAAGGAGCAAUCCGCUUUUAGAUGAGCUCGCGUCUGAUUAGCUAGUUGGCGGGGUAACGGCCCACCAAGGCGACGAUCAGUAGCCGGACUGAGAGGGGAAACGGCCACAUUGGGAAUGAGACACGGCACUGACUACUACGGGAGGCAGCAGGGGGGAAUAUUGCGCAAAGGGGGAAACCCUGACGAAGCAACGCCGCGUGAUUGAAGAAGGCCUUCGGGUUGUAAAGAUCUUUAAUCAGGGACGAAACAAAUGACGGUACCUGAAGAAUAAGCUCCGGCUAACUACGUG
rnacentral:rRNA from 1 species